GCUGGAAUAGUGAUGAAUUCACUUUUUGCCGUUUACCCGUCAGACAUUAAAGUGGUGAAAUUGUGAUGACUGAAUUACCAGC
rnacentral:snoRNA from 1 species